GAUGAACGCUGGCGGCGUGCCUAAUACAUGCAAGUCGAGCGAACAGAUGAGGAGCUUGCUCCUCUGACGUUAGCGGCGGACGGGUGAGUAACACGUGGAUAACCUACCUAUAAGACUGGGAUAACUUCGGGAAACCGGAGCUAAUACCGGAUAAUAUAUUGAACCGCAUGGUUCAAUAGUGAAAGACGGUUUUGCUGUCACUUAUAGAUGGAUCCGCGCCGCAUUAGCUAGUUGGUAAGGUAACGGCUUACCAAGGCAACGAUGCGUAGCCGACCUGAGAGGGUGAUCGGCCACACUGGAACUGAGACACGGUCCAGACUCCUACGGGGGGCAGCAGUAGGGAAUCUUCCGCAAUGGGCGAAAGCCUGACGGAGCAACGCCGCGUGAGUGAUGAAGGUCUUCGGAUCGUAAAACUCUGUUAUUGGGGAAGAACAAAUGUGUAAGUAACUAUGCACGUCUUGACGGUACCUAAUCAGAAAGCCACGGCUAACUACGUG
rnacentral:rRNA from 1 species